AAUAUUGGACAAUGGGGGCAACCCUGAUCCAGCCAUGCCGCGUGAGUGAAGAAGGUUUUCGGAUCGUAAAACUCUGUCAUGGGGGAAGAAUAAAUGACGGUACCCAAUGAGGAAGUCCCGGCUAACUACGUUCCAGCAGCCGCGGUAAUACGUAGGGGGCGAGCGUUGUCCGGAAUUACUGGGCGUAAAGGGUACGUAGGCGGCUAUAUAAGUCAGGUGUGAAAUACCAGUGCUUAACACUGGAAUUGCAUUUGAAACUGUGUAGCUUGAGUGCAGGAGAGGAAAGUGGAAUUCCUAGUGUAGCGGUGAAAUGCGUAGAGAUUAGGAGGAACACCAGUGGCGAAGGCGACUUUCUGGACUGUAACUGACGCUGAGGUACGAAAGCGUGGGUAGCGAACA
rnacentral:rRNA from 1 species